AGCCCUACUGGCUCAGUUGGUAGAGUGACCUGAAUGCCAUUCAGGCCGUCGCAGGUUCAACUCCUGCCGGGCUG